rnacentral:rRNA from 1 species
UACAGAGGCCCCGAGCGUUAUCCGGAAUUAUUGGGCGUAAAGGGUGUGUAGGUUGCGUGAUUAGUCGUUUGUGAAAGCCCGGGGCUCAACCUCGGAUCCGCGAACGAAACGGUCAUGCUUGAGUAGAGAAGAGGUAAGCGGAACUCAUGGUGUAGGGGUGAAAUCCGUUGAUAUCAUGGGGAACACCAAAAGCGAAGGCAGCUUACUGGUCUCUUACUGACACUGAAACACGAAAGCGUGGGUAGCGAAUGGG